rnacentral:rRNA from 1 species
UGGGGAAUUUUGGACAAUGGGCGAAAGCCUGAUCCAGCAAUGCCGCGUGUGUGAAGAAGGCCUUCGGGUUGUAAAGCACUUUUGUCCGGAAAGAAAUCCUUGGCUCUAAUACAGUCGGGGGAUGACGGUACCGGAAGAAUAAGCACCGGCUAACUACGUGCCAGCAGCCGCGGUAAUACGUAGGGUGCAAGCGUUAAUCGGAAUUACUGGGCGUAAAGCGUGCGCAGGCGGUUUGCUAAGACCGAUGUGAAAUCCCCGGGCUCAACCUGGGAACUGCAUUGGUGACUGGCAGGCUAGAGUAUGGCAGAGGGGGGUAGAAUUCCACGUGUAGCAGUGAAAUGCGUAGAGAUGUGGAGGAAUACCGAUGGCGAAGGCAGCCCCCUGGGCCAAAUACUGACGCUCAUGCACGAAAGCGUGGGGAGCAAAACAGGAUUAGAUACCCUGGUAGUCCACGCCCUAAACGAUGUCAACUAGUUGUUGGGGAUUCAUUUCCUAGUAACGUAGCUAACGCGUGAAGUUGACCGCCUGGGGAGUACGGUCGCAAGAUUAAAACUCAAAGGAAUUGACGGGGUCAUA